CACGUACUCCCUCCGUCCGGAAAUACUUGUCAUCAAAAUGAAUAAAAUGGGAUGUAUCUAGAUGUAUUUUAGUUCUAGAUACAUCCCUUUUUGUCCAUUUUGAUGACAACUAUUUUCGGACGGAGGGAGUAGCUG
rnacentral:pre_miRNA from 1 species